UCUUGGGAAUGGGCGAAAGCCUGACCCAGCAACGCCGCGUGGGCGAUGAAGGCCUUCGGGUUGUAAAGCCCUUUUGAGGGGGAAGAUGAUGACGGUACCCCUCGAAUAAGCCACGGCUAACUACGUGCCAGCAGCCGCGGUAAUACGUAGGUGGCAAGCGUUGUCCGGAUUUACUGGGCGUAAAGGGCGUGCAGGCGGUCUGUUAAGUCUAGGGUGAAAGCUCCCGGCUCAACUGGGAGAGGUCCUUGGAUACUGGCGGACUUGAGGGAGGCAGAGGAAAGUGGAAUUCCCGGUGUAGUGGUGGUAUGCGUAGAUAUCGGGAGGAACACCAGUGGCGAAGGCGGCUUUCUGGGCCUUACCUGACGCUGAGACGCGAAAGCGUGGGGAGCGAACC
rnacentral:rRNA from 1 species